UUUUCCCUCUCUCCCUCUCACUUUGGAAACUCGGUCGGUUGAGAAAUAGUAACGGCGUCGCUCGGAUGUGUCCAAAGCGCUCAGAAAAGUCGAGUGAUAAGACGACACUCUGCCCGUUCAAUCUGUCAUGUGUGUGCGACAUGGCCGACUGUGAUCGUUUCCCUUUCACAAGAAGACGAGAGCACAGAAGAGACAACACAAAGUUAAUUCCAGAUCAAGAGUUACACCCAGCCGCCUGUAAGUGACACUGAGGACACGAUUAAAGUCACGUCCCCCAUGGAAAGCUUUGGCAGGUCAUGAAGACGCUGCUGCUGAAUCCACGGUUUGAUCACGUGUUUCCAAGCGUCUUCGGAGAGAAGAGAAGGGAAGAGGAGCAGCCUGUCCCUCUGUUUAAUUGACCCACACUGACCUCCACAAUAAAGAUACGAGCACCAAACCCCCACACGCUCCCGUCCGGAGGCUGCUGAUUGGUGAUGAAAUUCGGUUAUUUUUUUGGUUGGAAAUUUAAGUUAAUAUGUGGAGAAGAGUGAGAAUAAUAAAUGUGAGGUAGAGUUUGGAUUUGGUCAUCCAAUAAAGACGCAUUUAAUCUGAGGUGAAUUUAUUGCCCAAAAUUGUUUAAUAGUCCUUGUUUAGUUUUGGUUUUGUCCUGGUCUAGUCUCUGUUUAGUCCUGGUUUAGUU